GACCGCGCAGCUCAGUUAGCAGAGCAUUGGGUUAGUAUUCCAAAGGUCGUAGGUUCGAUUCCCACCGUGGUCA
rnacentral:tRNA from 1 species